rnacentral:tRNA from 1 species
GAGGGUAUAGCUCAGUGGUAGAGCACAUGCGUAGUAUGUAUGAGGUCCUAGGUUGAAUCUCUAGUACCCCCA